rnacentral:rRNA from 1 species
UACGUAGGUGGCAAGCGUUAUCCGGAAUUAGUGGGCGUAAAGCGCGCGUAGGCGGUUUUUUAAGUCUGAUGUGAAAGCCCACGGCUCAACCGUGGAGGGUCAUUGGAAACUGGAAAACUUGAGUGCAGAAGAGGAAAGUGGAAUUCCAUGUGUAGCGGUGAAAUGCGCAGAGAUAUGGAGGAACACCAGUGGCGAAGGCGACUUUCUGGUCUGUAACUGACGCUGAUGUGCGAAAGCGUGGGGAUCAAACAGGAUUAGAU